GAACGAACGCUGGCGGCAUGCCUAACACAUGCAAGUCGAACGAGACCUUCGGGUCUAGUGGCGCACGGGUGCGUAACGCGUGGGAACCUGCCCUUAGGUUCGGAAUAACUCCCCGAAAGGGGUGCUAAUACCGGAUAAUGUCUUCGGACCAAAGAUUUAUCGCCUUUGGAUGGGCCCGCGUUGGAUUAGCUAGUUGGUAGGGCAAAAGCCUACCAAGGCGACGAUCCAUAGCUGGUCUGAGAGGAUGAUCAGCCACACUGGGACUGAGACACGGCCCAGACUCCUACGGGAGGCAGCAGUGGGGAAUAUUGGACAAUGGGCGAAAGCCUGAUCCAGCAAUGCCGCGUGAGUGAUGAAGGCCUUAGGGUUGUAAAGCUCUUUUACCCGGGAUGAUAAUGACAGUACCGGGAGAAUAAGCUCCGGCUAACUCCGUG
rnacentral:rRNA from 1 species